rnacentral:tRNA from 1 species
GGGCAUUUGGUCUAGUGGUAUGAUUCUCGCUUUGGGUGCAAGAGGUCCCGCGAGUUCGAUUCUCGGAAUGCCCC